ensembl:lncRNA
GUGCAGUUGGAGAACUAACUUCAUUAAAUAUACGUUUUUGAAUUUAUUGAAUAUUUUGCUGGGAUUUAGGCCAACAGUUUCAAAGGAACAGCAAAAUAAACAUCUGCACUAUGAGAAUCACCAGGGUAUGACUGUGGUGUCCAAACCAGCAGCUGGUUUCCUGUGGUGUCAGAGGAUUUCAUGCAUCAUAAAUCAAGGACAAGAUGAGGUUGCCAUCCUGAGGAGGUACUGGCACACAUAGAGAAGACCGAACUCAUGUCCAUAUAAACAGUGAGCGAUCUGUUCUGCCUGCGCUGCUUUUCCUGUGACUUGAACAAUUUUGCUUUAGGCUAAAGUUAACUCAAAGUUAACUCUGAACAACGGGAAUCCCUGUUAGUACUGUUCUAGCCCACAUCUCGGCUGGCCUAGACAUGUAGACUCACACCUGUUUCUUUAUCAAGAUUCAAGGGACGAUUGACUGCGUCGGAAAGCUGAGUAAUGCUGCCUUUACAAGUGGUAUGGUGGUAGAUAGGGAAGCGUUACAUCCUGUUUACUAAGAUGCCUUCAUGUAGUAAGUUUCUCAAGGGGUAUAGAUCCUUCCCUGCCCAUGAUAUUCCAUAACCCUGUGUGCACAGUUCAGUGGAAAGAAUAAAAUAGCAUCUGAAGGAGUUUAAUGUGAUUUA